rnacentral:rRNA from 1 species
GGCGGCGUGCUUAACACAUGCAAGUCGAACGAUGAAGCCAGCUUGCUGGUGGAUUAGUGGCGAACGGGUGAGUAACACGUGGGUGAUCUGCCCCAAACUUUGGGAUAAGCCUGGGAAACUGGGUCUAAUACCGAAUAUGACCGAUACUCGCAUGGGUGUUGGUGGAAAGCUCCGGCGGUUUGGGAUGGGCCCGCGGCCUAUCAGCUUGUUGGUGGGGUAAUGGCCUACCAAGGCGACGACGGGUAGCCGGCCUGAGAGGGCGACCGGCCACACUGGGACUGAGACACGGCCCAGACUCCUACGGGAGGCAGCAGUGGGGAAUAUUGCACAAUGGGCGCAAGCCUGAUGCAGCGACGCCGCGUGAGGGAUGACGGCCUUCGGGUUGUAAACCUCUUUCACCAGGGACGAAGCGAAAGUGACGGUACCUGGAGAAGAAGCACCGGCCAACUACGUGCCAGCAGCCGCGGUAAUACGUAGGGUGCGAGCGUUGUCCGGAAUUACUGGGCGUAAAGAGCUCGUAGGCGGUUUGUCGCGUCGUUCGUGAAAACUUGGGGCUUAACUCCAAGCGUGCGGGCGAUACGGGCAGACUUGAGUACUACAGGGGAGACUGGAAUUCCUGGUGUAGCGGUGAAAUGCGCAGAUAUCAGGAGGAACACCGGUGGCGAAGGCGGGUCUCUGGGUAGUAACUGACGCUGAGGAGCGAAAGCGUGGGUAGCGAACAGGAUUAGAUACCCUGGUAGUCCACGCCGUAAACGGUGGGUACUAGGUGUGGGUUCCUUUUCACGGGAUCCGUGCCGUAGCUAACGCAUUAAGUACCCCG